rnacentral:rRNA from 1 species
GAUGAACGCUGGCGGCGUGCCUAAUACAUGCAAGUCGAGCGAACAGAUGAGGAGCUUGCUCCUCUGACGUUAGCGGCGGACGGGUGAGUAACACGUGGAUAACCUACCUAUAAGACUGGGAUAACUUCGGGAAACCGGAGCUAAUACCGGAUAAUAUAUUGAACCGCAUGGUUCAAUAGUGAAAGACGGUUUUGCUGUCACUUAUAGAUGGAUCCGCGCCGCAUUAGCUAGUUGGUAAGGUAACGGCUUACCAAGGCAACGAUGCGUAGCCGACCUGAGAGGGUGAUCGGCCACACUGGAACUGAGACACGGUCCAGACUCCUACGGGAGGCAGCAGUAGGGAAUCUUCCGCAAUGGGCGAAAGCCUGACGGAGCAACGCCGCGUGAGUGAUGAAGGUCUUCGGACCGUAAAACUCUGUUAUUAGGGAAGAACAAAUGUGCAAGUAACUAUGCACGUCUUGACGGUACCUAAUCAGAAAGCCACGGCUAACUACGUG